UUGGGCGUAAAGGGUGCGUAGGCGGCCUGUUAAGUAAGUGGUUAAAUUGUUGGGCUCAACCCAAUCCAGCCACUUAAACUGGCAGGCUAGAGUAUUGGAGAGGCAAGUGGAAUUCCAUGUGUAGCGGUAAAAUGCGUAGAUAUAUGGAGGAACACCAGUGGCGAAGGCGGCUUGCUAGCCAAAGACUGACGCUCAUGCACGAAAGCGUGGGGAGCAAAUAGGAUUAGAUACCCUAGUAGUCCACGCCGUAAACGAUGAAUACUAAGUAUUGGGGAAACUCAGUGCUGCAGCUAACGCAAUAAGUAUUCCGCCUGUGGAGUAUGCACGCAAGUGUGAAACAUAAAGGAAUUGACGGGGGCCCGCACAAGCGGUGGAGUAUGUGGUUUAAUUCGACGCAACGCGAAGAACCUUACCAGGCCUUGACAUCCCUUGCAAAGCUGUAGAGAUACAGUAGAGGUUAUCAAGGAGACAGGUGGUGCAUGGUUGUCGUCAGCUCGUGUCGUGAG
rnacentral:rRNA from 1 species